rnacentral:rRNA from 1 species
UGGGGAAUAUUGCACAAUGGGCGCAAGCCUGAUGCAGCCAUGCCGCGUGUAUGAAGAAGGCCUUCGGGUUGUAAAGUACUUUCAGCGGGGAGGAAGGGAGUAAAGUUAAUACCUUUGCACAUUGACGUUACCCGCAGAAGAAGCACCGGCUAACUCCGUGCCAGCAGCCGCGGUAAUACGGAGGGUGCAAGCGUUAAUCGGAAUUACUGGGCGUAAAGCGCACGCCGGCGGUUUGUUAAGUCAGAUGUGAAAUCCCCUGGCUCAACCUGGGAACAGCAUCUGAUACUGGCAAGCUUGAGUCUCGUAGAGGGGGGUAGAAUUCCAGGUGUAGCGGUGAAAUGCGUAGAGAUCUGGGGGAAUACCGGUGGCGAAGGCGGCCCCCUGGACGAAGACUGACGCUCAGGUGCGAAAGCGUGGGGAGCAAACCGG